rnacentral:rRNA from 1 species
CUACGGGCGGCAGCAGUAGGGAAUAUUGGACAAUGGGCGAAAGCCUGAUCCAGCAACACCGCGUGCACGAUGACGGCCUUCGGGUUGUAAAGUGCUUUUAGAGGAGAUGAGAAAGGACAGUAUCCUCUGAAUAAGCCUCGGCGAACUACGUGCCAGCAGCCGCGGUAAAACGUAGGAGGCAAGCGUUAUCCGGAUUUAUUGGGCGUAAAGCGCGUGCAGGCGGUCUAGCAAGUUGGAUGUGAAAGCUCCCGGCUCAACUGGGAGAGGUCGUUCAAUACUGUUAGACUAGAGAAUAGGAGAGGGAGGCGGAAUUCCGGGUGUAGUGGUGAAAUGCGUAGAUAUCCGGAGGAACACCAGUGGCGAAAGCGGCCUCCUGGACUAUUUCUGACGCUAAGACGCGAAAGCUAGGGUAGCAAACGGGAUUAGAUACCCCUGUAGUC